CACGUAGUUAGCCGUGGCUUUCUGAUUAGGUACCGUCAAGAUGUGCACAGUUACUUACACAUUUGUUCUUCCCUAAUAACAGAGUUUUACGAGCCGAAACCCUUCAUCACUCACGCGGCGUUGCUCCGUCAGGCUUUCGCCCAUUGCGGAAGAUUCCCUACUGCUGCCUCCCGUAGGAGUCUGGACCGUGUCGGUCAGUUCCAGUGUGGCCGAUCACCCUCUCAGGUCGGCUACGUAUCGUUGCCUUGGUAAGCCGUUACCUUACCAACUAGCUAAUACGGCGCGGGUCCAUCUAUAAGUGAUAGCAAAACCAUCUUUCACUUUAGAACCAUGCGGUUCCAAAUGUUAUCCGGUAUUACGCUUCCGGUUCCCGAAGUUAUCCCAGUCUUAUAGGUAGGUUACCCACGUGUUACUCACCCGUCCGCCG
rnacentral:rRNA from 1 species